GUGGCAACACCUCCAUAGAUAACAACCCCAAACACGAUGGUGAUGAUGGCACGUCUUUCCUGGGCCCAGAGGGCGAGCCCUACCUCUAUCCUCUAAAAACUAUGGAGGGGGACGGUGAGGUGAUCAUCAGCCCGGUACAGAACUGCAGCCAGUGUGAGAGCGGUGAAUGCCACGGAACCAAGGACAGCAUUGUCUGCUACUGCGAUGACUACUUCAUCCUGGCAACAGAUGGAGUGUCCUGCAUCAAUGCUACAGUGUCCCCGCUGUCUCCCCAGCCUACUCUCUCCUCCAUGGCACUGGGUCUGUCUGUGGGCACCUCAGCUC
rnacentral:lncRNA from 1 species